CUGCUGGGUUAGGAAGGGCAGCUAGUCACAUUUUCCCACCCACUUCCCACUGUUUCUUUUCUGUUUAUUUUUUCCCUGAUCUUAAAUAAAUGAAUAUUCCAAGAGGAGAGUAUCCAGGCAACCAAGUGAGUUCAGGAGAUCCUAAAGUUCCAUUAAUAAUUAAGAGUCAGCAGCAAAAUCCACCAAAGGCAGUAUCAAUAACCACGGGAGUUAAGAAAAGACUAAGCAGCAAUUUUAAGGUGGAAGUACCCAAGCCACAACCUUGUGGGUAUUGCAGGGCUGGGAAUAACCAGAGAAUGGCCACUGAGCUUGAUGAGGAUCUUGCACAGGAGCCAGGAGACAAAUGGUAUUUUCUUCUCCUGUAAGAAGAACGAGAGUCUCCCAAAUACUGAUCAAGUUCUGACAAUGCAUGCAUAAAUCUCAUCAUCUAUGUGGAAAGUAUGUGCUAAGAUGGACAGUAGAAAUAUCCUUGAUCUCCUGGGGGAUAACUUCUUGCAGUAUACUCGAAGAUUUCAGUUAUCUUUUGAAUGAGCAGUGACUCCCUGCCUUGUAGCUCUCUGCCGGAAUGCAAUCAACAGCAGGCACUUUGCCACAUGGAAAGAGUCUAAUGGCAUUCAGAACCUCCUCUUCAGUUGGAAAUUCAGCUUGGAGAGGAAUUGAUUUCAACCUGAGGUAAACAGUCAAUGGCUUCAGCAUUAGUUGAUGAUGAAUGGUCUGUUGAGAACACUCUGGAAGUAUUCAGACUAUCUCUCCAGGAUCCACUUCUUAUCACCAAUCAACGUGGCUCCAUCAGCACUAAAUAGUUGAGAUGCAGCAUAGACCUUUGGUCCAUAAAUAACCUUCAGGACAUCAUAAAAGCACUUUAGAUUAAUACUAUUAGCAUAAAACUGAAUUCCAUCUGACUUCUUAUUGAGCCAAGAAUCCUGUAGCUUUUGAAACUUUGCUUGCACUUUAUUUUUGAUGGAGCUGCUACCUUUUUAGACAUUGAUGAACUAUCCUGCUGAUAGACCCUCCAGAGUUCUCAUUUUUCAUUUAGUAGCUUUUGAAUUCCUAUAUCACUUUCAUCAAACCAAUCCAGAUAUCUGUGAGUGUUCUGGCCCAUAUGAGUAAAUGUGCUGUUGUAUACCAAAUUUUUGAAAGUGGCCAACUCAUUUUCAUUUCUCCUACCAGUAGUGUGUAGGUUCAGCUUUCCCUCCAAUUCAGUAGCAAGCUGUUUACACAGGCACUCUAUCUGUUUACGCUGAAUCUUCUAAUAGUCAUCACAUCUUGAGGUCACUUCUUUUGUUGAAUGUGAAUGUUUAGCUUGGAGAGGAUAAGUCUGUGAUCCAUCCAGCACUCUGUGCCACAUGUUGCUUUCAUGACUCUCAGACAUCCUGUCUGGCUUUUCUCCUUAUAAUAACAGUCUAUUAAAUGGCGAUAUUUGCCAUUAGGAUGCAUCAAUGGAAUUUUUUUUGCAGUUAGGUAAAUGGAAGACAGUGUUGGUGAUGAGAAGAUCAUGAGAUGGACAAGUCUUCAAUAAUAAGUGAUUAUUGUUGCUCAUUCUGACUCCAUUCCUCCAGUGACUCUUCCUCCAAUGACUCCCUUCCAUGUCUGAUAGUCAGUGCCUACUCUGACAUUAAAAUCACCAGAAUUAUAAGUUUGUCCUGUUUUGGCACAUUGAUGAUGAGAGUCUUUAUAAAAUUUUUCUUUGAGCCCUUCAGGGUUCAUCAUGGUGGGAAGUAUACUCAUUGGUGAUGGUGGUGUAGUGCUUUCCUACAAAUGGCAAUUGCAUUGUCAUAAACCUCUCAUUUACUCCUUUGGGGAGGCAUACAAGCUUGUUUACUAGAUUAGAUUUGAAUGCUAAACCAAAGCCAGCUUUAUAGCAUUCUCUGUUACUGUGGUUAUUAUAGAAAGAUAUGGAUUCAG